ACAGCUAUAUAAGCCACUCUUUUGCAUCUUACAAAUUCAUUCUAAAACAUUUUUAGUUUUGAUAGAGUGAAAGGAGUAGAACAAAAAAAUGGUGGAGAAUGGUGAUUUGGUUGUGUCGAUUGUUGUGAGAGAAUUUGAUGCGAAAAAUGAUAGCAAAGAAGUGGAAGAAGUAGAGAGAAGAUGCGAAGUUGGCCCCGGUGGUAAACUCUCUCUUUACACCGAUCUUUUGGGUGACCCAAUUUGCAGAGUUCGCAAUUCUCCUGCUUAUCUCAUGCUGGUUGCAGAAAUAGUGGUGCACAAUGGACAAAACGAAGAAAAAUCAAUUGUAGGGAUGAUAAGGGGUUGCAUCAAGACCGUUACGUGUGGGACGAAACUCUCGAGGAGUGGUGUCAAAAACAACUCUGAUUCAGCUAAGCCGCUUCCUAUCUUCACCAAACUCGCCUAUAUUUUAGGCCUUCGUGUUUCUCCUGCUCACCGGAGAAUGGGAAUUGCGCUAAAACUGGUGUGCGGAAUGGAGGAAUGGUUCAGAGGUAAUGGAGCUGAAUAUUCGUACAUAGCUACUGAAAACGACAAUCAAGCUUCCAUUAAUCUCUUCAACCACAAAUGCG
rnacentral:misc_RNA from 1 species